rnacentral:rRNA from 1 species
AAAAACAUAACCUUUAGCCAAACAAAUAUUAAAGGCAACGCCUGCCCAGUGAAUAAUUAAACGGCCGCGGUACCCUAACCGUGCAAAGGUAGCGUAAUCAUUUGUCUACUAAUUAUAGACCUGUAUGAAAGGCAAAAUGAGGGUUUAACUGUCUCUUAUAAUAAAUCAAUUAAACUGAUCUCCUAGUAAAAAAGCUAGGAUAAUAACAUAAGACCAGAAGACCCUGUGAAGCUUAAAUCAAACUAUUAAACCAUAUAAUAACUACUUUCGGUUGGGGCGACCUUGGAAAAAAAAAGAACUUCCAAGACCCAGCACAGCUGAUAAUUGAACCAAGUUACUCCAGGGAUAACAGCGCAAUCUUCUUCAAGAGCCCAUAUCAAAAAGAAGGUUUACGACCUCGAUGUUGGAUCAGGACAUCCUAAUGGUGCAGCCGCUAUUAAGGGUUCGUUUGUUCAACGAUUAACAGUCCUACGUGAUCUGA